CAGGGAAUAUUAGUAAUGGGCGAAAGCCUGAACUAGCAACGCCGCGUGUGCGAAGAAGGCCUUCGGGUUGUGAAGCACUUUUUGGGAGGAUGAGGAAGGACGGUACUCUCAGAAUAAGUCUCGGCUAACUACGUGCCAGCAGCCGCGGUAACACGUAGGAGGCGAACGUUAUCCGGAUUUACUGGGCGUAAAGCGCGUGUAGGUGGUUUGGUAAGUAGGGCGUGAAAGCUCCUGGCUCAACUGGGAGAGGCCGUUCUAAACUGCCGAACUAGAGGAUGGUAGAGGGAGGUGGAAUUCCGGGUGUAGCGGUGGAAUGCGCAGAUAUCCGGAGGAACACCAGUGGCGAAAGCGGCCUCCUGGACCACUCCUGACACUCAGACGCGAAAGCUGGGGUAGCAAACGG
rnacentral:rRNA from 1 species